CAUGGCUGUUAUCUGAUCCGCCCUGUGUGCGUGUGUGUCUCAGCAGCCUACCCCGCUGCAUACGGCCAGAUCAGCCAAGCCUUCCCCCACCCUCCACCCAUCAUUCCUCAGCAGCAACGAGAAGGACCAGAGGGUUGCAACCUGUUCAUCUACCACCUCCCUCAGGAGUUUGGGGAUGGAGAGCUGAUGCAGAUGUUCCUGCCUUUCGGUAAUGUCAUCUCCUCCAAAGUGUUUGUGGAUCGGGCGACAAACCAAAGUAAAUGCUUUGGGUUUGUCAGCUUUGACAACCCAGGCAGUGCCCAAGCUGCCAUCCAAUCAAUGAACGGCUUCCAGAUCGGCAUGAAAAGACUCAAGGUGCAGCUGAAGAGGCCGAAGGACGCCAACCGCCCCUACUAGCCCCCCGCCCCAGCCAGCCGCCACCCCCCUGGCGGCCGGGGCAGCCGUCGCACACAGGGAAAGACAGGUUUUGUUGAGCUGAAUCAUAUGUUGACUUCUUGCUACCCGCCACUGAGUGCAAACUCGACAUCCGGACCACUGAGGCUGCUUCAGAAAAACAGAGGAGAGAGAGAGAAAACGAUGACCGAGUCAAGGACGCCUCCUUUUGGAUGUACUAAAACUUUGGAACUCAGAGAGAAUUUGUACCAGCCUGGUUAGCCCCAGGACCUUUUUUCUUCUGCACACAUAUACACACCUCUUCCCCCCACAAAACCCUGCUUGAAUGACAGCUACCUUUUUUCUGGACCACAAAAAAACUUUUACUUGAACAAUGAGGAGAACAAAAACAGUAAGAGUAACUCGAUCAAACCUACUUACAAUGACCAACCCUACUGAACUCUUAAAGGGAAUACGGAUGUCAAAAGUCCAACAAGAACAAAAACUUUUUAAAAACUGAGUAGAAGAUUGCCGUAGGAGAUCUUUCCGUAAGAUGGUUUGAGUUUGGGGCAAUUGACUUUUGAAGACCAAUUUAUAAGACUUGAAACGCGAAGGGACAAGAAAUUCUCGGCGAGAGAACUUAAGUAGGGAAUGUGAUAUUUUCAGGACACAAAUUGGCUUCGAUUUGGGAUGGCCAUCUUUAGCUCGGAGUGCCUGUCCGUUUCCAGGGGAUACCGUUGCCAAGGAGAGCCAUAGCAACGGUCUCCAGGGAGUCUUACCUGUCAUUCCUUAGUUGUUUUAGGGACCAAAAGACCAAACGUUUUUAUUGCUGAGGACUUGUAGCUCUAAUAUACUCGGACCACUGCAUCUCCUUCAGUCAGUGUAUACUGGUUGGGGAGUUGCACUUAAAAGAAGUGUACAUUUCGAAUAUAUACAACACAUGUAUAUAUACAUAUAUAUUGCUGAUAUGCUUUUUUGAAUACAGGCAAAACUAUUUCAGAUGACCAGAUGGGGUCUCUCACUUCGCUAGUUUACAAUUACUCAAAAUGUUUAUUUUUUUCUCUUCUCAUUUUGUCUUGGGAGGGAUGGCGAGUGCAUGGGAGGGGCUGCUCCGUAUCACAGCCUUAUCUUUUUUAACUUGACAUCCUAACCUCAUAGAUAGAAUAACAUCAGAAACGUUUGAAAUAUAUGAACUUGUUUAUAUUUGCAGUACAUAUAUAUGUAUAACAAGCAUUCAAGCAAAUGUAUUCAUAUAUACAGUAUAUAUGGAUAAAUAGAUAUUAAUCACAAACAAAUAUAUGUAUUUAUAUGCACAUAUUUUAUAUAUGUGUGUCUGUAUAUAGAACGGCUACUGACUAUGUUGAGCUGUAAUUUUUUGUAGAUUUUAGCUGGAGUUUGAAACAUUGCUCUGCUUGGGAAGAAUCGCAAAUCUGGCAGCUCCCAAAACUGCAGGCAUUCCUAUCUCUGAUUAACUAUAUGCUGACACACGAUAUAUUGCUAAAAGAUACAUGUGUGAGGAUGCACACAUGGUGUAAAUAUUAUCUGAAAAUGCAAAAAGCCACAUCUCAGUAGCAGGCUUUAAGAGAAUCAGGCUAAAUGAUUUUAGAGGAAAAGGACAAUUAUCUUCGACUCUAUUCCAAACAUAUCUUUUGAGCUUACACACAAACACACACACACACACACACACAAACUUCUCUUUGAAACUUGAACCAAAAUGAAUACGUCUCACAACCCUUGCUCUCUUUUGCAUUCAGUAAAGUGCAUGUAGCGUAUGGGCUGUCACCAUGUCAAGGUGUGCCUUGUCACCUGCAGAAUCUGCCAUCAAGCACUGUGCUCUCAGAAAACAACGAAAGAAAAAAAAAAAUUGCUCAACACAUACCACUGCAAGCAGCCAACGCGCUAUUAUGAUGUCAAAACUACAGCCAGAUCCAUAUCAUUUGUCAGCCGCGUAGAGAGCUUCAGUGCAUGUCCAAUGUUACAGCUGUUGGCCAUCAAUGUCUCUAAAAAAAAGCAUUUAGAAAUAAUCAUGCGAUUACCCUUCAAAUAAAAGCGGGCAUUAGGUAACCUGUUAGCACAGGUGCUAACUAUCAAAGCUGUGUACUUUCCACUGGUUGGAGUCUAGGGUAAAUGUCAGGGUUGCGACUGACAUGACGUGUCUUGAUAUGAGAAGUGAUUGAGCUCAUCGGACCCGACAUUAGGCUUGAAUGGUUAUGAAAGUGAUGUCAUAUUGAUGAAUAUGCUCUAAUUAGAGCGCGGGCAUCCCAUUGAGCAGAAUAAGGGAGGGUUUGAUGUACUUUCACAUCCAGCAGUUAAUGUGUGGAUCUGCUGGUAAUACUUGACAUGAAGCAUAUCCUUUAGAAGAUGUUAUAUUGCCUUAUCCUCAUACACUCAAAUAUAAAACAUAAAAGUAUAAUGAAACUGUAAAAUGAAGCAAUAAGAGUGAAAAGCCAUUUUCCCAUUAGAACUGCUGUGCCACUGAGGCUGGUUUCAUAUUGCUUUAGCAUACAGUUUCUCAUAAAAGUCUACAAAAAUGGUAUGAACACUUACCAUACACCUGCAAAAGGUCAACGGACUUGGAUUUAUUGGUCCCCGCAUUCAACACAUAUUCAGCUGGUGGAGAUUACUCAAUGAAUAUUUAUAUAUCUGAAUAUUUAUAAGGCUAUAUGACACUUUGGAAGACAAUGCUUCCUGUUGGGUGCUAUUACUAGUUUUUCCUAUAAAUUGCUCAUUAUGCCCUUUCCCUGGUGUCUGUGUGUAACCUUUUUAGCAGAUUGAAUAAUUUAACAUUUACCUUCCAAAUCCAGUGGGGCUAAAAGACGCCACUCCACAUCCCAGGAUGCCACUGUUUGUAUAUGCCACAUAACAAGGCCCCCACUGUGGCGUACAGUGUGAAACCAGAUGACCAUCGUGAUCAUUUUCACCCCGACAGUAGCCGCCGUUGGUUAGUACAAAACGUCCGGCUGCCUUUGAGCUAACAGUAACAUCCGGAGCUAAAUGUCAUGUGUCUGGUGUCCCUGAUCGCCACACUGUGCCCUCUUUGACUGGCCCUCGCCGCUCUGAGGAAAUUGAAAAAAGGUGUGGACACGGUCUGUGCUUUUUAAUGGUUUGUUUGAGCAAUCACUCAUGUCUUUCACCUAGCCCAUGUUUUCAUGUUGAGGGAAGUGAGGGAGGAGAAGCAGAUCGACAGCGGGAACUAGAAAGCCAAUCACCUCUUCUUCAUUUGCUCCGACUUAAAGCUGCAAGUUUACAUGAGAAAAGAAAAAACAAAGUAUUGUGGUUCAAAAACAACAAGAAACAGAGCAGAAGUUUGAAUAUAAAUAUAUAUAUAUAAAUAUAUACAUAAACCGAUGAAUAUACUGUAAAUUGUUUCCUUUUUUGCUCUGUUUUCCUCUGUACAUAGGUUUGCAUAUUUUAUAGGACUUUUACUUCUAUCUACAAGGACUGGAUAAAGUACUUUAAAUACUUAAAAAAAUAUAUGAAUGAAAACAUGAUAAUGCUCAAUAAAACCAGGUACAAAAAAAAAAUAGUCGCUAGGAUACGGUACAAGCUGUAGGACCUGACCAAGGAAAUUUAUCCAGAAUACAGUCAGGGAGAGCAUUGACCUCAGUUAGAGCUUAGACACAUUGACCUAUUUUAUAAAAUAAAAAAUACUUUGAUGGGUUCUAUUCAUUUAUCUAUUUGUUUAGAUAUUUAUUUAUAAGUCAUGUCCAAGAUAAUAUGCAUGCUUUCAUGGCAUUAUUUUUCUAUGAGUUGGUACGUGACCAAAUAGUUUUUAUAUGACAUGCAUGGGCCACUGCUGUGGUCCACCGAUGAUCAUCGCUCCUGUCUGCAGGACCAUGCCUUCAUGAAGGGGGAAACACGCUCCUAUUGACCAAUUGAUGUCAAAGACAGAUUUGUAAUCCUUUAUUUAUUUAUUUAUUUAUUUUGAGUUGAUGUAUUUAUUUAUGUAUUUAUUUGUGCUGUUUGAUUCAAGAUCUGAGCUCUCUUAUUGCCACUGAUCUGUUGCUUUGUAUCACUACAUUGCAUAUUAACACUUCAAGCAACCUCCGUAUUUAACAACUUCAAAGACUGGUUUUUACAUUUUCCUGUUGCCGAUUACCUAUUCAAAGCAAUGCAGUACUAUACUAAAGCCUUAUGUAUAUUUGUAAUUAUUAAUUCAUAUUGUUCUGUUCCUAAAAAAUUUAGCUUUGUUAAAAGAUUGUUAACAAAUGAGCAUUAGCUUCCAUUCUGAAACCUAGGUAAACUUUACAUAAUACAACUGUCCAAUCAGACGUGUAAUCACAAGAACAUAUGCCUUGAGGUCACUAUGAGUUGCUGCUAAUAUACAGUAUAAAAGAGCUGAAGUCUGAUGAAGUACUAAUCUCUGAUUAACUGCCUGAAACAAAAAAAACAUUUUUGAUUUGUUUUGAUUCCCCUGCUCCCCUUUCUCCUCUUGCUUUGCAUUGUUUGACAGAGCUCUGAUCUUGUUCAACUGAUGUGUUCUAACAAGAGUAAAAUUCAAUGAAAACUGCACUAUCUCAUCAGAAACCAUUGAGUUACUAUCAUUCUUUCUCAGUGCUGUUAUCAGUGGUUUUAUUUCUAAAGCGCAGUAGUAUUGCUAGAAUCACAUUUUCCUUCAUAUGGUUUUCAAAGUAUUCUGGAAAUCUAUUUCCCAAUGUCAGCACACACAGAGGGAGGGGAAAUGAAUGUUGCAUAUUAAGCUUUGCCGGGUUCCUGAUGAGCUAAGCUUCUGAUUGGGCAGUGCGCUUUAGGCUCCCGCCCCUGUCUCUCCAGACUGCACCAUUCUCUGGUCCCCUGAACUCUUUUUUUGUAAUUUUAAAUGAAUGAUGCGUCUCAGCUUAGCCCAAUAAUAAAGCACAGUCUAGAA